CCUACGGGAGGCAGCAGUGGGGAAUAUUGCACAAUGGGCGCAAGCCUGAUGCAGCGACGCCGCGUGAGGGAUGACGGCCUUCGGGUUGUAAACCUCUUUCAGUAGGGAAGAAGCGAAAGUGACGGUACCUGCAGAAGAAGCGCCGGCUAACUACGUGCCAGCAGCCGCGGUAAUACGUAGGGCGCAAGCGUUAUCCGGAAUUAUUGGGCGUAAAGAGCUCGUAGGCGGUUUGUCGCGUCUGCCGUGAAAGUCCGGGGCUCAACUCCGGAUCUGCGGUGGGUACGGGCAGACUAGAGUGAUGUAGGGGAGACUGGAAUUCCUGGUGUAGCGGUGAAAUGCGCAGAUAUCAGGAGGAACACCGAUGGCGAAGGCAGGUCUCUGGGCAUUAACUGACGCUGAGGAGCGAAAGCAUGGGGAGCGAACAGGAUUAGAUACCCUGGUAGUCCAUGCCGUAAACGUUGGGCACUAGGUGUGGGGGUACAUUCCACGUUUUCCGCGCCGUAGCUAACGCAUUAAGUGCCCGCCUGGGGAGUACGGCCGCAAGGCUAAAACGUCAAAGAGUAGUGGCGNGUAGAGUGCGACGACGCACACGGGAGGAGGUU
rnacentral:rRNA from 1 species